GAUGAACGCUGGCGGCGUGCCUAAUACAUGCAAGUCGAGCGAACAGACGAGGAGCUUGCUCCUCUGACGUUAGCGGCGGACGGGUGAGUAACACGUGGAUAACCUACCUAUAUGACUGGGAUAACUACGGGAAACCGGAGCUAAUACCGGAUAAUAUAUUGAACCGCAUGGUUCAAUAGUGAAAGACGGUUUUGCUGUCACUUAUAGAUGGAUCCGCGCCGCAUUAGCUAGUUGGUAAGGUAACGGCUUACCAAGGCAACGAUGCGUAGCCGACCUGAGAGGGUGAUCGGCCACACUGGAACUGAGACACGGUCCAGACUCCUACGGGAGGCAGCAGUAGGGAAUCUUCCGCAAUGGGCGAAAGCCUGACGGAGCAACGCCGCGUGAGUGAUGAAGGUCUUCGGAUCGUAAAGCUCUGUUAUUGGGGAAGAACAAAUGUGUAAGUAACUAUGCACGUCUUGACGGUACCUAAUCAGAAAGCCACGGCUAACUACGUG
rnacentral:rRNA from 1 species